rnacentral:rRNA from 1 species
CCCUUAGAUGUUCGGGGCUGCACACGCGCUACACUGGAGGAAACAGCGUGUAUUGACCUGGUCCGAAAGGACUGGGUAAACCUGUGAAACUUCUCCGUGCUUGGGAUAGCGGAUUGCAAUUGUUUCGCUUCAACGAGGAAUUCCUAGUAAGCGUAAGUCAUAAGCUUGCGCUGAUUACGUCCCUGCCCUUUGUACACACCGCCCGUCGCUCCUACCGAUUGAGCGAUCCGGUAAAUGUUUUGGAUUGGUGCCGGGGCGGCUAGCUGCCGGUCGCUACGAAAUUUUGUGAACCUUAUCGCUUAGAGGAAGGAAAAGUCGUAACA